rnacentral:rRNA from 1 species
GUGUCAGCAGCCGCGGUAAAACCAGCACCUCAAGUGGUCAGGAUGAUUAUUGGGCCUAAAGCAUCCGUAGCCUGCUUUGUAAGUUUUCGGUUAAAUCCAUAUGCUCAACAUAUGGGCCGCCGGGAAUACUGCACAGCUAGGGAGUGGGAGAGGUAGACGGUACUCGGUAGGAAGGGGUAAAAUCCUUUGAUCUAUUGAUGACCACCUGUGGCGAAGGCGGUCUACCAGAACACGUCCGACGGUGAGGGAUGAAAGCUGGGGGAGCAAACCGGAUUAGAUACCCGGGUAGUCCCAGCUGUAAACUAUGCAAACUCGGUGAUGCGUUGGCUUGUAGCUAGCGCAGUGCCGCAGGGAAGCCGUUAAGUUUGCCGCCUGGGAAGUACGUACGCAAGUAUGAAACUUAAAGGAAUUGGCGGGGGAGCACCACAAGGGGUGAAGCCUGCGGUUCAAUUGGAGUCAACGCCAGAAAUCUUACCCGGAGAGACAGCAGAAUGAAGGUCAAGCUGAAGACUUUACCAGACAAGCUGAGAAGUGGUGCAUGGCCGUCGCCAGCUCGUGCCGUGAGGUGUCCUGUUAAGUCAGGUAACGAGCGAGACCCUUGCCUCUAGUUGCCACCAUUACUCUCAGGAGUAGUGGGGCGAAUUAGCGGGACCGCUGCAGUUAAUGUGGAGGAAGGAAAGGGCCACGGCAGGUCAGUAUGCCCCGAAACUCUGGGGCCACACGCGGGCUGCAAUGGUAAUGACAGUGGGUUUCGAAUCCGAAAGGAGGAGGUAAUCCUCAAACAUUACCACAGUUAUGACUGAGGGCUGCAACUCGCCCUCACGAAUAUGGAAUCCCUAGUAACUGCGUGUCAUUAUCGCGCGGUGAAUACGUCCCUGCUCCUUGCACACACCGCCCGUC